AUGGGCCCCAAGCGGCGGCAGCUGACGUUCCGGGAGAAGUCACGGAUCAUCCAGGAGGUAGAGGAGAACCCGGACCUGCGCAAGGGCGAGAUCGCGCGGCGCUUCAACAUCCCACCGUCCACGUUGAGCACCAUCCUGAAGAACAAGCGCGCCAUCCUGGCGUCGGAGCGCAAGUACGGUGUAGCCUCCACCUGUCGCAAGACCAACAAACUGUCCCCUUACGACAAGCUCGAGGGGCUGCUCAUCGCCUGGUUCCAGCAAAUCCGCGCCGCUGGCCUGCCGGUCAAGGGCAUCAUCCUCAAGGAGAAGGCGCUGCGUAUAGCCGAGGAGCUGGGCAUGGACGAUUUCACUGCCUCCAACGGCUGGCUGGACCGCUUCCGCCGGCGCCACGGGGUAGUGUCCUGCAGCGGGGUGGCCCGCGCCAGGUCGCGCAGCGCUGCCCCCCGGACCCCAGCGGCGCCCGCCAGCCCUCCCGCAGUGCCCUCGGAGGGCAGCGGUGGGGGUACCACGGGCUGGCGCGCUCGGGAGGAGCAGCCACCGUCGGUGGCCGAGGGCUACGCUUCCCAGGACGUGUUCAGCGCCACUGAGACCAGUCUGUGGUACGACUUCCUGCCCGACCAAGCGGCGGGGCUGUGUGGCAGUGAUGGACGGGCACGCAGGGCCACCCAGCGCCUGAGUGUCCUGCUGUGUGCCAACGCCGAUGGUAGUGAGAAGCUGCCCCCACUUGUGGCUGGCAAGUCGGCCAAACCCCGUGCAGGCCAAGCUGGCCUGCCCUGUGACUAUACCGCCAACUCUAAGGGUGGUGUCACCACCCAGGCUCUGGCCAAGUACCUGAAGGCCCUGGACACCCGCAUGGCUGCAGAAUCUCGCCGAGUCCUGCUGCUGGCUGGCCGCCUGGCUGCCCAGUCCCUGGAUACCUCGGGCCUGCGGCAUGUGCAGCUGGCCUUCUUCCCACCAGGCACCGUGCAGCCGCUGGAGCGUGGCGUGGUCCAACAGGUGAAGGGCCACUACCGCCAGGCUAUGCUGCUCAAGGCCAUGGCAGCGCUAGAGGGCCAGGAUCGCUCAGGCCUGCAGCUGGGCCUCAUGGAGGCCCUGCACUUCGUUGCUGCGGCUUGGCAGGCUGUGGAACCUUCGGACAUAGCUGCCUGCUUUCGUGAGGCUGGCUUUGGGGGUGGCCCUAAUGCUACCAUCACUACUGCCCUCAAGAGUGAGGGAGAGGAAGAGGAGGAGGAGGAGGAGGAAGAAGAGGAAGAGGAGGGUGAAGGGGAGGAGGAGGAGGAGGAAGAUGUCCUGGUAGCAGAGGUCAUCAAGUUUUACUUCCCCAAGAUGGUGGAGAUGCACAAUUAUGUCCCUGCCAACUCUCUCCAGCAGAAACUGAGCAACUGGAGUCACCUGAACAGGAAGGUGCUGAACAAACUGAACUUCUCUGUACCAGAAGACGUGAUGCGCAAGAUAGCACAGUGUGCCCCAGGUGUGGUGGAGCUGGUGCUCAUUCCACUGAGGCAGCGCCUGGAGGAGCGUCAGAGACGUAGGAAGCAGGGCAUCGGCUCCUUACAGGAGCUGGCUCCCCAGGAUGGCACUGACUACAUAGAUGUGGGUUUGUCCCAGAAGGCCCGAGGGGAAGGUGUCCCAGACCCCCAGGGCCGGGGGCAACUCAGGGAGGGCCGACUGCCUGUGCCCCGGCCUCCAGGGGACAGCCAGGCGCUGCAGAGCGACCCGAGCUUCGUCCUCCAGAUCGCUGAAAAGGAGCAGGAGCUGUUGGCCUCGCAGGAGACCGUGCAGGUCCUGCAGAUGAAGGUGAGACGCUUGGAGCACUUGCUCCAGCUCAAGAACGUGCGUAUAGAAGACCUCUCCCGGAGGCUCCAGCAGGCAGAGCGUAAGCAGCGGUGAGCCUGAGAGAUGCCCCCUUAUCCGCCAGAGCCCAGAUGUAGCAACUGACGCACCCACCUCGAAG
rnacentral:lncRNA from 1 species